UACGGAGGGUGCAAGCGUUAAUCGGAAUUACUGGGCGUAAAGCGCGCGUAGGCGGUUAUGUAAGUCGGGUGUGAAAGCCCCGGGCUCAACCUGGGAAUUGCACUCGAGACUGCAUAGCUAGAGUCUGGGAGAGGGAAGUGGAAUUCCGGGUGUAGCGGUGAAAUGCGUAGAUAUCCGGAGGAACACCAGUGGCGAAGGCGACUUCCUGGCCUAAGACUGACGCUGAGGUGCGAAAGCGUGGGGAGCAAACAGG
rnacentral:misc_RNA from 1 species